GGGAGAAGCACAGUCUUCGUUUUACUAAGAGCUGAGGAAUUAGGGGAAGGUGGGAGUUUGGGGAAGACGGAGGAGAAGCUGAAGGAAUCGGGCUUCCAACAAUGGCGGUGUGCCCGGAUUUGAAAUGCAAUCAGGGAGCACAGCACAACGGCUGGUGUAUGUUCAAUAACUACUGCUGACUGGUAUCUACUGAGACAAGAGAGCAGCCCAGCCUGUUGUGCAGAGUACAGAAUGUUCUCUUCUGUGAACUAAGCUUGAACUUUUCCAACCCACUUUGUUUGAGGAACCAUACAGACACAGAGGGGAAAAAACAGGGAAGAUAACCCCCAAAUUGUUGAAAUCGUUGUGUUCUCUCUGAUUUUGGCCCUGAUCAUUUGCUUUUCACUGCUCGAAAUUAAAAAUCCCAAGCAUUAAAAUUCUUGGAAGAACAAAAUGCCUGUGAUGUCCUUUCUCUGAGUCAGUGCUCCGGCUUCCACACUGGAAAGGAACAAGUCUGUCACCACCUCUCCUAGAUUUCUUUCUUUCUUCCUUUCUUUUUUUCCUCUAAGGCAUUCAAGCGACAAAAAUACAGCAAAAAACAUUUUCCUGUAGGGAAAGGAAAGGCCUCCAGUGUGUGGAUUUCUUUCAGGUUACCAACAGUGGUCCCCAAUUUACUGAAUGUCCUGAGGAAAUUGACAGUAUAAGGGUUUUAGGUCAUUAGAUGUUGCUGUUCAGUCGAUCAGUCAUGUCCGACUCUUUGCAACCCCAGGGACUGCAGCACAACAGGCCUCUCUGUACCUCCUGAAGGUAGGUAAUCUCCCCAAGUUUGCCCAAGCUCAUGUCCAUUGCAUCAGAAUGCCAUCCAGCCAUUCAUCCUCUGAUGCCCUCUUCUUCUGCCCUCAAUCUUUCCCAGUAUCAGGGACUU